GAUGAACGCUGGCGGCGUGCUUAACACAUGCAAGUCGAACGAAAAAUGGAAACUGAAACCUUCGGGCGGAAGGGUUCAGGUGAAGUGGCGGCCGGGGGAUGAAUGCGUGGGUGACAUGCCGCACAGAAGGGGGUAAUAGUUGGAAACGACGGCUGAUACUGCAUAAGACGACAGCACCGCAUGGUGCGGGGGGGAAAACUCCGGUGGUAUGAGAUGGACCCGCGUUGGAUUAGCCAGUUGGGGGGGUAACGGCCCACCAAAGCGACGAUCGAUAGCCGAGCUGAGAGAAUGACCGGCCACAUUGGGACUGAGACACGGCCCAAACUCCUACGGGAGGCAGCAGUGGGGAAUAUUGCACAAUGGGGGAAACCCUGAUGCAGCGACGCCGCGUGAGUGAAGAAGUACUUCGGUAUGUAAAGCUCUAUCAGCAGGGAAGAAAAUGACGGUACCUGAGUAAGAAGCCCCGGCUAACUACGUG
rnacentral:rRNA from 1 species